rnacentral:rRNA from 1 species
GACGAACGCUGGCGGCGUGUCUAAUACAUGCAAGUAGAACGCUGAAGGAGGAGCUUGCUUCUCCGGAUGAGUUGCGAACGGGUGAGUAACGCGUAGGUAACCUGCCUGGUAGCGGGGGAUAACUAUUGGAAACGAUAGCUAAUACCGCAUAAGAGUAGAUGUCGCAUGACAUUUGCUUAAAAGGUGCAAUUGCAUCACUACCAGAUGGACCUGCGUUGUAUUAGCUAGUUGGUGAGGUAACGGCUCACCAAGGCAACGAUACAUAGCCGACCUGAGAGGGUGAUCGGCCACACUGGGACUGAGACACGGCCCAGACUCCUACGGGAGGCAGCAGUAGGGAAUCUUCGGCAAUGGACGGAAGUCUGACCCGAGCAAACGCCGCGUGAAGUGAAAGAAAGGUUUUUCGGGAUUCGUAAAAGCUUCUGUUG